rnacentral:rRNA from 1 species
ACGGAGGGGGCUAGCGUUGUUCGGAAUUACUGGGCGUAAAGCGUACGUAGGCGGAUUAGUAAGUAAGAUGUGAAAUCCCGGGGCUCAACCUCGGAACUGCAUUUUAAACUGCUAGUCUAGAGUUAUGGAGAGGUAAGUGGAAUUCCUAGUGUAGAGGUGAAAUUCGUAGAUAUUAGGAGGAACACCAGAGGCGAAGGCGACUUACUGGACAUAUACUGACGCUGAGGUACGAAAGUGUGGGUAGCAAACAGG